CUACCGGGAUGCAGCAGGCGAGAAAACUUUGCAAUGUGCGAAAGCACGACAAGGUUAAUCCGAGUGGUUUGUGCUAAACGAACCUUUUGACAGUCCUAGAAACACUGUUGAAUAAGGGGUGGGCAAGUUCUGGUGUCAGCCGCCGCGGUAAAACCAGCACCUCAAGUGGUCAGGAUGAUUAUUGGGCCUAAAGCAUCCGUAGCCGGCUCUGUAAGUUUUCGGUUAAAUCUGUACGCUCAACGUACAGGCUGCCGGGAAUACUGCAGAGCUAGGGAGUGGGAGAGGUAGACGGUACUCGGUAGGAAGGGGUAAAAUCCUUUGAUCUAUUGAUGACCACCUGUGGCGAAGGCGGUCUACCAGAACACGUCCGACGGUGAGGGAUGAAAGCUGGGGGAGCAAACCGGAUUAGAUACCCCAGUAGUC
rnacentral:rRNA from 1 species